rnacentral:rRNA from 1 species
GAUGAACGCUGGCGGCGUGCCUCAAACAUGCAAGUCGAGCGGGGCUAUGUAAUAUCGCAAGGUAGAACAUAGCCUAGCGGCGAACGGGUGAGUAACACGUGGGUAACCUGCCUGGAAGACAGGGAUAACGAUUCGAAAGGGUCGCUAAUACCUGAUAAUAUCCUUUCAUCGCAUGGUGAUAGGAAGAAAGGGGAAACCCGCUUUCAGAUGGGCCCGCGUCCCAUCAGCUAGUUGGUAAGGUAAAGGCUUACCAAGGCGACGACGGGUAGCCGGUCUGAGAGGAUGUACGGCCACACUGGGACUGAGAUACGGCCCAGACUCCUACGGGAGGCAGCAGUUGGGAAUCUUCCACAAUGGGCGAAAGCCUGAUGGAGCGACGCCGCGUGAGCGAAGAAGGCCUUCGGGUUGUAAAGCUCUGUCUGGAGGGACGAAGGAAGUGACGGUACCUCCGGAGGAAGCCACGGCUAACUACGUGCCAGCAGCCACGGUAAUGAGUAGUACA